UUGCUGUUGUUGAGGACUCGUCGAUGUUGGUUGACAAGGAUUUGUCUGCAGGCAAGGCGGACUCACUUCCAUAUCGUAAUAAGAAGCCGGUGUUUGGCUAAGCGGAGGCGUGUAACUAUCCUCCAUCGCCCACCAGCUACCCUCCACUCGGCCUAACUUCGAUGGGCUUUCGCCCAUAUCCAUGUCGAACUCCAUGCAGCCCACACCUCCCUCCAGUUUACGUUUCCCUGCCGUGGCCUGCAGACCCAUCAUUGCACAACUCUAAAAAUAAAUAAAUUACAUAUUAUAUUAGUUUUUCUAAAUUCUUUUUUAUAAAAAAAACAACAUGAUCACGAGAGACCUUGCCGAGUCUCGAUAUUCUGCUAUAAGCAAAAGAGUAGGCAAAACGGCAUGACUCAGAGGGUCGGCUCGCUGACAGACGUUGGAGAAUGACGUCAGACGACUCCCUACCCUAGCCUGGAAGAAGUCAUCGUUGGAAUGGAUGAUCGAGUGGGCAUGGAAGAGAAGGGGGACACAAAUGGCGAGGGGGACAGAGGAGUGUUGUUACUCAUGGGUUCAAUCAGCAAGCAUGCGGGCCCCUUGUGAAAUACUCCUCUUCAUUUUAUCUUUCCCUCCGUCUUUGUUUUCAUUUUUCUUCUUAUAUUCGUUCACAGAUACAUAUAUCAAAUUUAUGAAAAUAUGUAUUAUUAUUUCAAAUAUUUUAAUAGUAACUUUAUUAUUUUUGUUACUAUUGUUAGUAAAUACAUAUUAAAUCAAAUUUAAAAAAAUUUAAAUAAUAAUGUUUAUUUUUUCUUAAUUAAUUUUUUAAUUUAUAUUUUUUUUUAAUUAAUGAAUGUAAAGUAUAUAAAUGCUAUCUUGCAUCACUUACAGUGAUACCAACUAAGAGAAAUUUAAUCGAUCCAUGCGAUAUAUAACUCUAAAUGAUAAAAUAGAUAUCAAUAAUUUUCAUUCAUAUGUAUAAAUUCAAUUUUAUUAAUUAUUAUUUAAUUAUGCGAAUAAAAAUAAACAAAGAAUCACUUUUUA